rfam:Herbaspirillum sp. YR522 PMI40_contig_457.457, whole genome shotgun sequence.
CGGGGCGUAGCGCAGCCUGGUAGCGUACUUGCAUGGGGUGCAAGGGGUCGAGUGUUCGAAUCACUCCGUCCCGA